rnacentral:rRNA from 1 species
AGUGAACGCUGGCGGUAGGCCUAACACAUGCAAGUCGAACGGCAGCACAGUAAGAGCUUGCUCUUACGGGUGGCGAGUGGCGGACGGGUGAGGAAUACAUCGGACUCUACUUUUUCGUGGGGGUUAACGUAGGGAAACUUACGCUAAUACAGCAUACGACCUACGGGUGAAAGCAGGGGAUCUUCGGACCUUGCGCGAUUGAAUGAGCCGAUGUCGGAUUAGCUAGUUGGCGGGGUAAAGGCCCACCAAGGCGCCGAUACGUAGCUGGUCUGAGAGGAUGAUCGGCCACACUGGAACUGAGACACGGUCCAGACGCCUACGGGAGGCAGCAGUGGGGAAUAUUGGACAAUGGGCGCAAGCCUGAUCCAGCCAGACCGCGUGUGUGAAGAAGGCCUUCGGUUUGUAAAGCCCUUUUGUUGGGAAAGAAAAGCAGCAGGUUAAUACCCCGCUGUUCUGACGGUACCCAAAGAAUAAGCACCGGCUAACUUCGUG